AUAUAACUUUCAGCAACGGAUCUCUUGGCUCUCGCAUCGAUGAAGAACGUAGCGAAUUGCGAUAUGUAAUGUGAAUUGCAGAUUUUCAGUGAAUCAUCGAAUCUUUGAACGCACCUUGCGCUCCUUGGUAUUCCGAGGAGCAUGCCUGUUUGAGUGUC
rnacentral:rRNA from 1 species